rnacentral:rRNA from 1 species
ACUCAAAUGAAUUGACGGGGGCCCGCACAAGCGGUGGAUCAUGUGGUUUAAUUCGAAGCAACGCGCAAAACCUUACCUGGGUUUGACAUCCCCUGACAGCCGUAGAGAUACGGUCUCUGUAGAAAUACAGCAGGGUGACAGGUGCUGCAUGGCUGUCGUCAGCUCGUGUGGUGACAUGUUGGGUUAAGUCCCGCAACGAGCGCAACCCCUAUCUUUAGUUGCCAGCAUUCAGUUGGGCUCUCUAGAGAGACUGCCGUGGUUAACACGGAGGAAGGUGGGGAUGACGUCAAGUCCUCAUGGCCUUUAUAUCCAGGGCGACACACGUGAUACAAUGGUUGGUACAGAGGGAAGCGAAACGGUAACGUGGAGCCAAUCUCAAAAAGCCAAUCUCAGUUCGGAUUGGAGUCUGCAACUCGACUCCAUGAAGUUGGAAUCGCUAGUAAUCGCGGAUCAGAACGCCGCGGUGAAUACGUUCCCGGGCCUUGUACACACCGCCCGU